UGUUGACCAUGUAUUUUGCUUUUAUUUUGGGGCUUUGUUUUGGCUCAUCAUUGACAAUUGUCACUUCAUGGCCACAUAAGAAAUAUUUGGGGAGCCUUUUUUGGUGUAAGUUUCAGGAGAGGCAGGGAUUUGCCUUCCAAUAAGAAAGAUGGAAAGUCUUUAUGUGUCAGAGAAUAUCUGACAGAUAGGGCACAGCGUGUCCCCAGAGCUCAGCCAGUCAGAUGCUCCUGCCUGGGUCUUAGAAUCUGGAAUCAGUGAUGCAGAGAAGCAGGGAGGGCUGAGGAUUCUUUUCGGUGGCCCUGGUAGCAGCGUCUGGUGUCCAGUAGUGUCAGCCUCAAUGCCCUAACUGACUCAUCUGAGGUUCUCUCUAAAUGGUGGUUCCCAGACAUUCAAGACUUCCUGUCUCAGGUCCAGGCUCAGAAGACACAAACAAACAAGAAACUACGUUUGGUUGUUCCAGCAUAAAACCUUGGGUUUGCAUUGGACAAGAUUGGCUUACUUUGGGUAAUAUAUGAUGCUUGAAUUGGCCAGACCUAGUUCAUGAGCCUGAAGUUGUGUUAGAGUUCAGCCCUACUGCAACUACUAGUGGUUAGGAUCACAGGCACUGCAUGCAGUCUACCUGGAUUUGUAAAUCUCAGUUCUGCCAUUUAAGAGCAAAUUACAUAUUUAUUUGUAAGUUAUCUGAGACAUCUCUCAAAUGGGAAUAAUAAUAGUACCUGUACCAAAGAGUUGGUAUGAGGAUUAAAUGAGUUAAUUAUGCAAAAUGCUCAGAUCAGUGCCUGCCAUGUGGUUAGAGCUUAAUGUAUGUUAGUUACCAUUCUUAGCUAUUACUGCAUGGACUGAGAAUAGUGAAGAGAUGGUUUCCAAAGGAAAUUCAGGGGGCUGUUACCAGAAGACGGUACGAAUGAAUGCUCGAAAGGCAAGAACAACAAAUGUCCACUACACUUCAUCCCCAAGUUCUAACAACCAACUACUGGAGGUGGGCAGCCAAUAAGCUCUUGCAUGAAGCCAGCUGGGAUUCACAGCUGCCUGUUGGUGUCAAUCUUAUCCCCCAAGGUGAAGUUCCAAAGCACAGUCAUGACCACCUGAUCAACACCCCAGGAGGGCUGAAUGUCUCUCUGGCAAUCAGCCCUCAUUUUUCUAGGCUUCACCUUUGUGGCAGUCUUAGAAAAUCCAUGGCUUGGCCAGCCUGAGUGCACAUUAAACCAUUUCAAAAUGUUGGAAGAGGAAGUCUGCAUGCUUAAUGUGUAAUUUAGCUGAAAGAACUGGA
rnacentral:lncRNA from 1 species